UUAGGAAUGUCUGUGUAUAAAUAUGUAUGUGUGUGCAUGUGUGAGUGUGUAAUAUCAGCGAGGCUAUGGAAACCGUGGAGCAUUAUGAGUAACUGUAGAUGAUAACAGUGCCAAGCCCUGCUUUUUAAAGAGGCAGGUGCAAACUGCUGCUUUUUGAGAAUAGUAAAGGAGCCAUGGCUCAUAAUGGAUACACUGACUGGAGCAUGGUGAAGUGAAUAGAGAUAAGGUGUGUUCCACAUGUGGAUUACUGAGGACCGUGGCCACUGAUGGAUACUUCUGGUGUUAACUGGGUAGAGAGAGUCAUUUUAUUUUUAGUGUUUAAAAGGAAGAGUGUUAAGCAAGGUGGAUUGUGAAGCAAAAGGCAGAUUUUUGGCCAGAUGCGUUUGCUCUAUGAUGAUCCUGAGAUGGCUAGACAGCAAAAGCCUUUUGGUUUCAUGCUAAGUGUAUUCCUCCUAAGGAGAAAAGACUGCUGUGACAGGAGAAAUAUCAUCCCCAGCAUGAUUUUUCUUUGGCUUGCUUAGCUCCUCUGCAGUUUUCCCAGACAUUAGUGUGAUAGCUCUUUCAAUGAUAAGAAAAACAGCUAAAGAUGUUAUGGGGUGGGGGCUCUUGGGCACACAAAGCAGUCUGUAGGAUUUCUUACUGUGGCAUACAUUCCCACACCCUCGAUUUUCAUGGAAAUGAUAGCAGCGAGAAACAGUGGGAAAAGAUGCAAACUAUUGAGCCCCACCCAAUGCCAGCACUUCUUUCUUUAUGGCCUGACUCCUUCUGGUAAACUGUUGCAGCCUCACAGAGCUUCCCUGAGCCUCACCUCUAAAAGAGAUGCUCUAUAAAUAAUUCUCCUAAAAUGCAUUUAUUUCCUGGAGCAAUAAUAUGGGCAGGAUGUUAGAUAUGAUUGUAAUGUAAAUGGCUUUCAACAUUAGAUGGUUUUGGAUUUUGAAUAAGCAGAUUGCAAAAAUAAUAAGCAUGAACAAAUGAAUAUUUUUCAUUUUCCUAAUGAAGUUGCAUUGUGUUUCAAAAUUCUAGAUGUCUAGUGUACUAAAUGUUUUAUAAUCUAAAGAUUGUAAAUAAUUUGCAACCUCUGAUGUUUAAAAGAUCACUGUAUCAGCAAACAAGGGAGUAGUAUAUUUGUAUGGUAUCAUGCAAUUUGAUAAAAAUAAGCAUGUGAUGAUUUUUAAUCAUAGCGUAGAGAUAGUGAUGCAAUCUGAUAACGCAAAAGGAUAAUUCAGGGCAAGCAGGAACAUUGGUAGAAUGUCCUUUUCCUUUUGUACCUAAGCAUUCCAGAUCCUCUAGACCUUGAGGGCAUUUUUAUAGAGUGUUAGCUAAUUGAACAACAUAAAAAAAGAAAAAGAAAAUAGAAGAGAGAGCGCGAGCAAGCAAGAGAGAGGGAAAAAGAAAGAAAGAAAAAGGAAUUUUUGUUUUAAUUCACAUUAUCAUUUCAAAAUCCCGUAUUUUCUCUCUAAAGUCCCUGUAGUGCUUUAGAGACAAUAUACUCAGGACUAUUAAAGGGGUGGAGAAUGAAUCUUGAGAUUUUUGAGCUCUGAAUGAUGAUACUAACUUCACAUGACCAAAGCCAUUUUAAAGUCUUUGAGGAGGUAGAGACAACAAAAUCAUCCUAUGUAAUAACUAUCAUAUCUUUAAGCUGAAUUUUCUCAAAUAAAUUUAUUUUAGGAGUCUUUUUCCAAACUUGCAUCCAAAAUGAAAGAGCAAGUUUUGAAUGUGUGUGUUAAAGCACCAUGAAUAUUGAGUGUUAAAAGGAGUUUCACCUAAAAGAAAUUGCUCUUGAAAAAAAUGCUAAUUACAUAAUAGAUUAGGGGACGCACACACAUAAACACACACAUACACAUCCCUCAGCUUGCCUAGUCAAUCAGACAUAAGUGGGUCUAAAUCUCAGUUCUACCCUUUAAUUUUGUGUGUUUGGAGCACAUCAUUUAAUUUCUCACUUAAAGAAUCCAGGGAUUCAUCUGUAAAAUGAGAAUAAUUAUAUAUAGAAUAUUUUGUGAGGAUUAGAAAUAAUGUAUAUAUGAUUAUUUGAACAGCGUUGAAAACAGAUAGUCAAUGGCAAUAGCUUUCAGGUGUUAUUCUCUUAAAUGGAAUUUGUUUAUUGCAAUAAGCCUUUUAAGAGAAAAAUCUGUUUAUACUUUUGAGAGAGGCAGAAAUGACAGAAUCCAAUAUUGGUGCUUUGCAAAGGCUAGUAGUCAUUUUUCAAACUGUCAAAAGUUAUAUGCUAUAAUUGGAAACUUUUUUAUCUCAUACAAAUCAUUGAGGUUUACAUAAAUGUACCUUAGGUCUUUAUAUUAUUGUUUCACAUUAUUUUGCACAGCAAGAAACUUACAUUUUCAUGUUUAAACACUAGACCAUUAAACGUGCCUUGAUGAGGACAUUAAUGAUAAAGAGAUAAGUAUCCCUAAUAAGCAUAAAAGCUGAGAAAGCAAAAAUUGGAGUAAAGUCAAUGUCACAUCACUUCAAUUCAGUUGUUUGUUUUUCUACUAGAGGUUUACAUUGAAUCUGCUGUGGGAUUCUACUUAAGCAUCUAGGAUUAUGGACCACCAAGCUCACUAUGGCCUGGGUGUGGAUCUAUCCUACUGAAUCAUAUUCCUUGAAAUCAUGCCUCUAUCUCUAGUAAAUACGUAACAGAUGGGCUGUAAUUUACUUGUUUAUUCUGUACCUUCCAAAAGUACUUCUGAGGGGCAGAGCUAAAGGGUCUUUUGCCACCAGAUCUACAAUGUGAGAAAAUAAGCUCAAGGAAGAAUUUAUUUAUGUCAGAAUUUUACUGAGUGUGUUGAGGAUAGAAAUUCUUUGAGCUUUACUUAAGAAUGUCUAUUUUGGCUUCAGUAAGUGAGCUUGUUGGUGCUCUCCACUCAGAAACCACAAGGAGUACACUGGUGGUUGAACAUGAUGGGUUUAUGACUCAUUGCCGCGAGGAGGAUACACAUCAUGGGGAACCGUGGGGGCAUCUCAGUAAGCGGGUGCCAGGAGGAAUGCACAGGAUACGGGCUUCAGUUGAGUAAUUUGAAAGAGGGUUCAAGAGAGUGGUGGCUCACUCUGGGGAUGGGGUACUCCCAGAAAGCAGGAACAAUUCUACGAUUGUGUAUCCCAGUAAGUCUUAUCUACAGGAGAACAGGCUAGAGCAUUACUAAAGCUAUAGUUGUAAGGAGGCAGCAAUCUCAUUUGGCAAGAGAGGGAGAUGUUUGGUAUUUUGUGUCUUGGACAACGUCUUUGUUUUGUCUGUGUUCAGACAUGAUAUGGGAGUGGUGCUGUUUUGGUUUUACUCUGUCAUGGUCAGCGUGGCCUUGUCUGAUGUUGAUGCUUUGAGAAAUUUUUUAUGUUCAAUAGGAGAACAUUGAGGCCUAGCUGAUAGUACCAGGCCCACUCCUGUAGGUCAGUGGCUGCCUUUCUCAUUCUCAAGCUUGAACACAAAGAUACCUUUGGAGAGAGAGAGAAUUGUUUAUUAUUGGAUACUCUUUAGUACCCAAAGAAAAUAAAUUGUAGGUAGUAAUGUUGUAAAGUAGUCAUGAAAACCUUCAUCUGAUACUUCAACAAAGUUUUCUUAGGGCCAAGAUAUUUCAUACUAACAGAUAUUGCCCAAGGUGCAGAUUUGGGAUUGAUGUUCUAGUGGUGGUUCAGUGGCGAAGAGGAAAUGGGGGCUAUUCUAAUUCUCAACUGGAAUCCAGAACUAAAAAGAAGCAUUGGUAGCUAUGUGAAAUGUAUCCAUGUAAGACAGCUUUGAGCCUACUCUAAAUCCCAGACCACUCUAUAAAGAUUUUUAUAUUUUUUGAGGCAGGGUCUUAUUCUGUCACCCAGGCUGGAGCACAGUGGUGUGAUCAUGGCUCACUGCAGCAUCAACCCACCUGGCUCAAGCAAUCUUCCUGCCUCAGCCUCCCUUGUAGCUGGGACUGCAGGCAUGUGCCACCACAGCUGGCUAUUUUUGUUUUUUUUAACUUUUUGUAGAGACAGAGUCUCCCCAAGGAACCCAGGCUGGUCUUGAACUCCUGGUCUCAAGCAAUUCUCUCUCAUCCUCUCAAAAUGCUGGCAUUACAGGCUUGAGACUAUAAAACUUAUUCCACUAUUCCACUAUUUUCACAGAUCAGAUUAAAAUAAUCCAAGACCAUAUUUAUGUGUGCAGCUCCACACACUUUCCAAUUUUGUAGCAGUAACAUAGCAGUGGAUUUAUACUAAAAGAGGCUGUAGGAGAUUUUGGUAAUUUACAUAAUUGGAAAUGGGAAUGCCCAAGCAUCAAUCACAGGUGACAGCCAUCUGAAACCACUAGGCUUGUGAGUUAUUCUAAAACUAGUACAUGAGUAAGUGGUUUACUAACUUUUUCCCAUUUAGUGGAAUAAUGAUAUGAAGAUAAAAAUAAAAUAUCAGCACUAUUAUUUUCAACAGAGUAGUAGGAUAAAAUGGCUUUAUAGGAUACCUUAUAUUUAUUGAAGAUGCUUUGAUCUGGAUCACUAAGAUAUUCAUAAGCAUUGCAAAAUAUUUUGAAGGUACACACACACACACACACACACACACACACACACAUAUUUAAUGGCUGUUUAGGCCACUGCCUAAACAGAGAGAUGAAAGAUGAAAGUGUUGCCAGGUGUGUGGUUAAAAUGUUGUACCAUAGAAAUGUGAAUGAGGUACAUAUUAAAAGGUUUAUUUUUAUAGCAGCCAAAGAAACUAUGCCCUUUUUAGUGAAAUCAGGUAGUAGAUCCAACAUUUGGGUGUCAAAAUAGUAUUGGAGUCAAUUAAUUUUGAAUUUAAAGUUGAUGCCUUAUCUAGUUCACUGAUGUCUAGAAAGGCUUCCAUGUAUAAUUUAUUCUGAAUAAUAUCCCUAUUUCUUCAGGCUUUCAAAUAACUUACCAUUUGCCCUUUAUAAAAUACCAACUUAUAACCCAAAAUAGCAUGUGUUGCCUGAAGACAGUAAUUCCCCACCACUGAAGGUAUUUAAAAUGACCAUCUGUCAGGGAUGAUGGAAAUUUUUAUUGGAAAGAAAAAUACCUUAUAACCUGGUAUUCUGUGAUUUUCUUUCGAUGUCUUCCUCUCUGUUUCUAUUUACUCACCUUUAUGAUAUUAAUUUUUUCACUGGUAAUUUCAUGUCUUAGUAAUAACUAAUUUGUCCUUUUUAGAGCAGCAUAUUUCAAAGUGCUGUCUACUGACCACAACUACCAGAAUUACCUGGGUUGUCUGCCAAAAUAAUUCACUUCUUAGGACCCACUUCAGACCUGCUGUGUAUCAGAACCUUUGAGGAUUUUUAACAGGCUCCCAACUCUUUCUUACGCAUACUCAAGUUUAGAACCAUUGUCUUGGCCAGGUGCAGUGGCUCACACCUGUAACCUCAGCACUUUGGGAGGCUGAGGUGGGAGGAUUGCUUGAGCCCAGGAGUUUGAGACCAGUCUAGGCAAGAUAGCAAGACCCUGUGUCUAAAAAAAAAAUUAAAAAAAGCCAGGCAUGGUGGCACAUGCCAGUAGUCCCAGCUACUGGGGACUGCUGGGGACACCCAACCCCGGAGGGUGAGGUCAUAGUAAGCCAUGAUCUUGCCACUGCACUCCAGCCUGCAUGACAGAGUGAGACUGUCUCAAUAAAUAAAUAAAUGAAUAAAUAGAUAGAUAAAUAAAUAAAUGAAUAGAACCAUUGCCUUAGAAUGUGGUUAACAGUCAUGAAGUUGAGUUAUCUUAGAAAGAAGAAUCUUUAAUUUUGAUUAGAUGUGUUAGUUUAUUACUUGGCUCUUACAGUAACAUUUGUUUAAGUCUAGAUGGCAGCAGCAAUGACACAAGAAAAUUUAGAACAACAUUUCUUUUAAUCUUACUCUUAUGUCUGGAAUCUAGAACUGUUUUCAUAUGCUAUCUUAUUUGAUCUUCAGAAUAACUCUCAUUGAAUAUUAUUACCCCAGUUUCAUAGAUGAGAAACUGGAGACUCAGAGACUACAUACAGAUGGUGCUGAAGAGACCAUAGACAUUUUUCCUACUGUUCAACUAAUGAGAUAUUUUGAGCCAUUUCUCCUGUGGAAACCAGGUGUAAGGUAGUCUUCUGUGUUUCUUGCAAAGAGUCUGUGGUUAUCUUCUAAGAUAUCCUCCUGAUUCUUCCAGUGUUGCUGCCAUUUUGCAUCAGUUGAUCACAUUUCCAAAAAUGCUCACUCUUAUCUAUGGGAAUAACAUGGAAAAGUAACUUCUUUCAUGGCUAUCUAUGAUACUCUCCCAAGCAGCAUUCCCAAAAGAAGGGAAACUUCUUUUGCUUCCAUUAUAUUUUGUGCUAUGUUGUUGUAGAUGUAUCCAUCAGUCCAUGUAGAUAACAUGUUGGACUUUGAAAAUUCACAAAAAUGUAAGAAACAAAACUUAAGUAAACAGCUGCCUUCAUGUGGCUUAGGCGUGUUAAAUUAAGCCACCAUAAAAAGUUCACCCUACUUUCACCAUUUUAGCUCUAAUUAUUCUCUUGAGAAAAUUUUGUUAGUAUGAUAUUCUCAGUAGUUGUUCUAUUAAAGGUUCUUUUCCAUACACUCUUUUCUGAAGUGUUGGAGGUUUCUUUUUCCUUCUCGAUAAAGUUUCUAAAGAGACAUUUGAUUGCACAUUAAAAUAGACUUGAAAUUUUAAUCUGUAUUUGUUUCUGUCUUGUCCUGAUUCAGAGCAUGCUAAAUUAUAAAUAUGCUUACAGCUUUACUUCUUUCUUGCUUGUAUUCUGUUCUAAUUCCUGUUGGAGGCAGAAACAAAAUCACUGCCUAUUUUUAUCUCAUUGGACACUGGUCGGAUACAUCACAACAAAUAAAGUUACCAUUUCAAUUUCCUUUUGCUAGGUAGAAAGAGAUGGGAUUGCUACCAAAGGAGACAAUCUUUUGAUAGAAAAAGUUUACAUUUUUUAUAUACUUGAGACCAAAUAAAUAUGAUAGGGUAUUUCUUUUUCUUUGAAAUUCAUGCCUACAUCCCAACCUGUAGGGAGGGUCAUUUUUAAAAAGCUGCAGAGAGAAGGGAAAAUAUGUUCUAGAUAAUAAUAUGCCACAGUCUACAGGGUGAGCAUCUUCUUAGUCAUGAGACCUGGUUUUUAUUCAUGUUUUUCUGUUAACUCACAGACAACUAUCAUCUUCUUCCACACACUAAUUUGUGUUUGUAGUCAUUAAGACAAAGACCUUGAUUUCUAGCAUUUGCUUAAUGAAAUUCAGUUUCUAAGAAUCAGCUUGUUUUGCUCAGUUUAAUUUAGGUGUUUCUUCCGAAAACAUAGGAAAGUUCCCCCAAUUCAACAAUUAGUAUUGGUUUGCUGAGUGUAUAGCACUGUGUUAGGUGCUAUGGCAUGGCUACGCUAAAAGCCAAUGAUUGAUACUUACAUAGAAUUCAUAAUCUGAGCAGACAUUUCUAUCUAAGAAAAAAGUAAUGAGCAAUCUAUAGAAAUAUUAUAGGUAUACUCACACAUAUUAUAAGUAAAGUAUAAACAUGUUGUGCAAUUGCCAAAAAGAAACUCUACAGGAUUCUGUAGAAGGGCAAGAGUUCAGUGUAAUUUUGUUAGAAGAGUAAACCCUAUGAGUGGGUGAACAGUAGUACAGAGCCGUAAGUUAUGGCUAAUGUGUGAGUAUAAAGGAAGGGGAUGCACAGGCAAUCUGGAUGCAACAGCCUCAGGCAUAUAAUUCCAAAUUACAGUAAAGAUUAGGAAACUGUUGAGUGAUUUGUUGCAGUGCAGAGUCAUAACCAUUGUGACUGGACUCUGACAUGGUUGUCCUUACGCUUUCAGCCUUGGCCAGCUGCAGCUUGCAUUUUGGAAUCCAUCUUGUUUUGAUGACUGAGCCUGUGUCCUUCUCCUAUUAUAUAUAUAUGUUUAACCACUCAUUUUACCUAUGAAGAUUUGCCCCGUAUCUCUGUUUAUAGAUUAUUUCUGCAAUCAGUACUAAAUUCCAAUAAGUAAGCCUCCAAAUUAACAAGACAUUCGAAUCUAGUAGGGACAAUUUUUGAAAGUAUCUAAAUAUUCAGCCUUCUGCCUUUACCUGAAAGAGAUACUGGUAUGGAUAACCCAGGAUUGCAAUUAUCUAGAACACUUAUACAGGCAAUCAUAAUACUUUGCAUAGCAGCUAAAAACUGGUUUGUCUCUUUGGGUUAUUAUUUUAUUGGUGAUCAUAAUGUUAUGCUAGUAUAACAUUACUAAGGUAGUCCACUUUGCAGGCUGACUUUGAGUUUGCUCUGGAUCUUCUGUUGGAUUUUCAGAUCCUUGAACAAGAAAUUCGAGACUUUCCCCUCCUUUCCAUUUCCUGGUCUGGCCACAGGUUUCUGUGCAGUCUUCUUUGUCCAUUUUAACUGGCAAACAGAGUGACUCAUGACCAACCAUUUCACUUCUGGCCACCUUUCACAUCCUGCUUACAAAAUAAGCACAAUUAUAGCCACCGCCACUUCAAAGAACACACAUAGUUAAAGAGAAAGGAGUAAAGGGGUGUUUUAGGAAUAAAACUAUCGAAACAGAGCUAAGUGUUAGGGUCUGUGUCGAUACUAAAAAUGGGAAGAAAUUAAAAAGAAAUUGUGAACCAUUCUAGAAUGUUUCACCCAGUGCUAGUGAGUGGUACCUUUUUAUAAGUAUUUUAAUGUAAUAAUAUAAUGGUUACUGUGAUUCUAAUAUUUGACAACAUUCUUAAUAAUAAGUGUUUCUAUGUGGCCAGUUGAGCCCAGUUUAGGUGGGAGGUAUUCUAGUUUAAAAAAAAUGAAAACUUAAAUUCAAAACAUUAGGAGAAUCAUAUAUGAGAAAUUUAGUAUUUUCUAUGUCAAGAUUUUGGUCCUCUUUUUGUAUAAUGCUUAUCCCUAAAUAAUCCCUUUUUCAGAUGUUCUAAAUGCUUGCCCAGAAUUCAGAGGGUAUGGUGGCGGGAUGCCCUUCUCUCUUACUCCAUAGCACUGUCUUGUAAUAAGUGCAGAGGGGUGGCAAUACACCCAAUGGCCAAUAAUUUAAAAUGAAAAUCAGGAAGGAAAGAAAUUAGAAUAAGCAUAGAUACUUUCCAUUAUUUUAGUAGUUUAGAGAUGCCAUUAGAACUGCUAGAGAUAUUCAUACUACUGUUAAAUUAAUGUGAAUGUCUGUCUUAGUACUUUUGGGCUGAUAUAACAAAAUACUUAGAGUGAGUAGUUUAAAAACAACAGAAAUUUAUUUCUCACAGUUCUGGAGGCUAGGAAAUUGAAGAUCAAGCCAUCAGCUGAUUUGGUGUCUGAUGAAGGCCCAUUUCCUGGUUCACAGAUGAUGCCUUCUCUCUGUGUCCUCACAUGGUGGAAAAGGCAAGGCAGCCUUCUGGGGCGUCUUUUAUAUGGGCACUAAUUCCAUUCAUGAAGACUCUGCCCUCAUUGCCAAAUCACCUUCCAAAGGCCCCAGCUCCUAAAGCCAUUGCAUUGGUGAUUAGAUUUCGACUUAGGAAUUUUGAGGAAGACACGAACAUUCAGAUUACAGCAGUCUGCUUUAAUGUUCUCCCAUUCAGUUAAACCUGUAUUAGAUUGUGUAUAGCCUGGCAUGCUUAAAUAGUAUUUUCUGUAAAGUUUACACAGUAAAUACUUUCAGUGUUCUGUGAAGUCAGUCAAAUUCAGAAGACUAGCCCUACAUGUGAAUUUGAUCUAUGUAUACGUUGUUGCCAUGAACUAUAGUACACAUGUUUAAUAAUUGUCUACUUGAUUUAUUCUUGGCUUGGUCUACCACAUAUUAUCAUUUGUGUAGAAAAGGUGUUCAAAAGAGACUGUAUAAGUAGCCUAUAAACGUCAGUUCUGUUCAGUGUGAAGAGCAAAGAGUUAUCAUAAUGGUUCAUACGGCAUUCUUAUAGGUCAUUCCUCUGUCUCAAUAAAGUACAGAGACUGUACUUUGAGAAUUCAGAAAUUGGCAACACUUUCCACACAGUCUAUGAUUCAUAGUAGGGACUAUGAAAAGCCUUAAUGUGAAUUAGCCAUUUGUUUCCAUAAUUUUAGAUUAUUCUGAAAAGAGCAUUUAAAUAGCGUUGAUAAAAUGUUCAUGAGCAACACAUUACUAUAGUCCAAGACUCAGAAUAAGUUCAUAUACUGAGGUUUGGGGAUGAGUGGUGACUGGGUUUUGAUUUGAAUGCUUAGCUAUUUAGGGCAUAGUGCUAAUCUAGCCACCACUAUCCCAUAAAAGCCAGUUAUCUUCAUUUAGUGUCAAAGGCAUACACUUCACUCUUAACUGAAGAGAGUAGCUGAUCAAACUGACACAGCAAAGCAGAGUACUGCCAGAUGUGUGCACACCCAACUACAUUACCAAAACUAACACACUGCGAUUAUCCCAGAGUCACUUAUCUCCUAAUGUGUGAAGGAAUUCUGGUCCUUUUUAGAAGGUCAUAUGAGGGGAAAUGAUACUAAUAGAAUGACAGUGAAAUAGGGGUCUUCUGUGGCAUUGUGAUGAAGUCUACCUCAAUCAAACCUGUUUGAACACAUGGUGUUUUGUUAAAUAAAUGGAACAAUUUAUUUAUAGAAAAAUUAUUUAUUAGAAAAAAUAGUUCAUCCCAUUGGAACAGCAUUUUUCAGUAAUAAUAAAUAGUAGUUAAUAUUCAUUGAGAGAUUAGUAUGUCUACAUGCCAGUCUACAUAGAGUUCUACAUAGAUUAUCUAAUUUUAUCUUCACAAUAACCUGAUGAGUAGAUAGUUUAUGAUUCCAUAUUAAAGAUGACACUGAUGUCCAGAGGGUUUUAAAAAACCCUUCCUGCUUGAAUCUACAUAGCUCCUAAACGAGCUAUCCAGGUCAAACUGACCACUCUGCUUAUCUCCAAACCCCUGUGCUAUGUGAAUGCAAUAAUCUUUUACACAAUUAAAAUAGGAUUAAGAAUUAAAGAAAUAGGAGUUUUGUUUAUGUCCCAAACCUGUUUCACUCAUAUGCCUUUGCUGACUGGUCAAUUGGUCAAUGAAUCUAAAAAGCUAUUUUUUUUUUCAAAUACAGUUUAAAACAGAAGUAUAAAUCCAAAUUGGAAAAGUUUUUUUAUGUAGUUGUUGACUAAGAUUAUUAGAUGCUUUCAGAAUAUUCAAGCCAGAUGUGAAUUCUCAGACUCAGCUGUGGAACACUGAAGAAUGAAGCUUUAUAGUUGGUAUUUCCAUCUGCACUUCAACUGUAUUUGUCAAAUGGCUGACACCCUUAGCAUAGCCUCUCUAAUAUAAGGGGGAAUUUGUUAGUGAGUUCAUGUUGCUUGUCCUAAUUCAAAAGGUCACUAAUCUAUCAUGUGCUCCAUAAUCUCAUUACACAGUAGGGACCUCUUUCCAGUUGUUAAAGAACCAGUAGGACUGAUCGGCCUAUUACAUGGGGCAGUCAGGCAUUUGUUUACUGGCCCAUCUAGAAACUGGUGCUUUAAACUGUUUUUUUGGAUGGGUAGGAGGUCUGUUCCAUCUGGAACCUUGGUACCUCUUCCAGAUGACCCUGCCCCAAGUGGCUUCCAUGUUUGAUUUGUGAAGGUAGUUCUUGAGCACUAGCAACAGGUUAGGUGUGGUUGGGGAACUUACACUUACUGUAACAACGCCUUGAUCAGAUAAAAAAUUACUGUUGGAAUAAUUUUCUGAAUCACUGACCCUCAUCCGGUGUGAGACUAAAGUUCCUCCCCGAUUGCUUUUUCCCAGUAAUAAUUUAAAGGGAUGACUAUUUUGGGUAAACUUUAUUUAUAACUUGUCAAAAUGAGCAGAAUAUUAGCUAAAGGAAGUAUGUUUUCCUUUGUGGAGCAAUUAAUUUUUCUUUUCAAAAAGGCUAUCAGGAGAUAAUUUUUGUAGGUUGCUUAUAUAACAACAUCAAUAAUUUAAAAAAAUUAUAUACACACAUACACACGCACUUACAUUAUUCUGAGUUUUAGAUAUGAGGCUCUCGGAAAUGGCUUAUAAACUUUGGGGAUUUUUUAAAAAAGAUAAACUGCCAUAACCAUACUCCAAUUUAUAUUUGCCUGGAUAUUUGAAGUAUCUUCAAUAAUACUGCUGUUGUUUAGUGCGCACAAAAAAAUAGUUAAAAAGAAUGAAUAGGAUGUAGUAUUAGCUAGUAAAACAGAAUGACUAUAGUAAAAAAUAAUGUAAUCGUACAUUUAAAAAUAACUGAAAGAGUAUAAUUGGAUUGUUUGUAGCACAAAGGAUAAAUGCUUGAAGUGAUAGAUACCCUGUUUACCCUGAUGUGAUUAUUAUGCAUUGCAUGCCUGUAUCAAAAUAUCUCAUGUAACCCAUAAACAUAUACACCUAUUAUGUACCCACACAAAUUAAAAAUUAAAAAAAUUUUUAAAACCAACUCAAAAAAGAAAUUGCUGUUGCCAUAGAAAGUUUUUUAUAAUACACUGUCUUCAUUCUAAAAACCUAAGGCCAUGCCCUGUACAGGGUUUCGAUUCUUGUCUAAAGCAGGAUUAUUAAUUUAGAAGCCAUAAAUUAAAUUUCCAAACAUUCAAACAGGCUUCUUUCUCCCCAGGAUAGAUUUUUAACUCUCUAUGUCAGGGUCUAUUGGCAGUUUUUUGUUCCAACUCAGGUGUCAAAGGUCAUGUGGAGACCAUCAUGAUAUGGCCUAAUCUAUAAUGUAAGUAUCAUGUACAUUUCAGUUUAAUAUUUUAAAAUGAAAGUAAUAAUAAUGUGCAUUUUAGAAUUUUUACUGUUUGAAUUGGUGUCUCAAGUUUAUUUCAAGGUGACCAAUGAACAAUGAGUUUGGAUCUCAUUAAAUUCUUAAAUUUUCUGGCUGUAUAGCUCUUUUGUAUAUUUCUAUAUGACUACAUAUCACUCUUUUAUAGUAUAUUCAUAUAAGAUAUUUUCUGCACUUUUUUGUACCAUCCAGAAGAGCCAUAUUUUAGGUGGAGGUUAUUAUAUACUUUAUGAAUUGCAGAAGUAAACAGUUUUGAAUAAUUCGAUACACUAAGAAUAUAUGGUUCCACAUGGACCUCCUAGAACAUUUUUGACACAAAUAAUUACAUUACAAGAGUGAUUAAUACUUAUGCAGAUGUGGCUGGCUAUGUCUUUCAGUAUACUGAAUGUUUAUUGUAUGUGAGAAUGAUCCCUUGCACCUUUUCAAGCACAACUGUCUAGUAAACAUUUAUUGACUAUUUGUCCAAUAGGCUAUGUAGCUCUGAUAUUUGAUAAUAGGAUUAAUAUUUUGCCUUUUCUGUCUACAUUACUAUACUAAUUUGAUUAUUUUCCCUGGGCCUAUCAUGAUGACAAGGAAUUAUGUCUGUUGACCUUAAAAUGACCUUGAGGAAAUGAGGUACUCAUAUCAAUUUAGUUGACAGAUGACAAGUGCCUGUGUUAUAGCUGACUGAAAAUUCAUGUUCCACAGUGUAAUAUCUAUUUGGAAUCUAAAAUUCUAAAAUUGAAUAUGACAUUUAGUAAAAAGAUAUCCAGUAGAAUGUAUAUUCAUAUCUCUGUGUGUGUAUGAGUGUGUGUGUAUUUGAGCCAAAUAUUCUCUUUGGAUGUUGCUAAAUAAUGGAAAAAGUUACCACCAAAUUUGUUAUGUGUUUUAAAUGAUAGCAUUUGGUUAUCGUUUAUUAAGGGCUCUCAAAUCAUACCUGCAACCAACAUUGUGGAUAAGAGAAUACUUGGUGACAAUCAUUAUUAAAAUAAGAAAUUCUUGGAAAGGUGGAUUUCAGCAUUGCUUUCUCAGAAAACAUAUGGUACUUGAAUUUGCUUUCUUCUCUGUGUCUAGUCAAGGUUUGCAUUUCUUUAAUGAUGUGCAUUUGCCCUUUUCCAUUAUAAAAAGAAUUGCUUUUUGCCACAAUCAGAAAACCUUUAGUAUAUUUUAUGUGGACAUUUUCUCAGUUGGUAGAAGACGGAAGACCAAAUAAGCUGGUAAAUAGUAAUACACAUGCAUGAUAAUAGUAACAGAUUAUUUUAGUCUGCUGGCAGUUAUAGGUAGGUAUUUUUAUACUUAAUUUUAAAAAUACUUGAGAAUUAACAGCAAAUGUAAAAUUCAGAAAAGAGCUGAAUUAUGAAAAAUGAUAUUUAUCUCAUACGAAUACAUUUUUAAAUUCUAAAAUAAUGAAACUGAACUCUUAGUGUGAAUUUAGAUGUGAGGCUGAAAAUAGAUCUCAGGACGGAGACUUUGUUUAAAUUCUUGCUAAUGUCCAACUAAAUACAUUUGAAUUUAUUUAGAUUGCAAUAAAAAAAAAACCACCUUCCUGCUUCUUUAUUUCAUUUGAUGUCUCAAAUCCCACAUUAUUUAUGGAAAGCUGAUUUUAAAAUAAUGUUUUAUUUUUGAGUUGACCUAAAACAUCAAACUGAAAUUUGAUUUUUCCAUAAACAUAAAAGGACAUGUUUUUUUUUUGUUGUUGUUGUUUUUGCUUUUUAACAGAUAUGUAUAAUGACUUUCCUCCCAGUGGAAGUCAUUUUUGGAAAUUUUAGUGAUACAGUUCAGUUUAAUUGCUGAAUUGUUUACAGGUGUUAAAGAUCUCUAGCAUUGAUAGUAGAGAAAUUUUGCCUCAUUAAUUUUUCCUUUUAGGAAUUUGAAGCCCUUUAGAAUAUAACAUAAAUACAUUUUGCUUCAAGUUUAAUAGCAGAAAAAGAUCCCUUCCACCUACCUCAUCAUCUAUGUGUACACUAAGCUCUCCCAAGAGCACUCUGUGUGACUUACCAUGAUGAUAGGUUUUUGUGUCUGUUUUAAUCGUAUUUACCAUACGCAGGUGCCAAUUGUUCUGUGAGGAUACACAUAACAGCAGGUGGUGCCAGUUAGCAUUCAGCCAGGAUUAAGGAGGAGGGGCUCUGCAUUCCACAGUGCACGUAGCCACCUUUUGUUUUCCCAUGACAGAAAUCCCCUUCCCUCCCCACCUGCCAGCCCUGCUUAUCCACCUCGCUCUAGGAGCUCAAUUUGUGGUGGUGUGCUUUUGAAAAAGUACCAACCACCCUUACUUCGAGAAAGUCCAAACGAUUGUGCAAAGUAUGGCCCGUGUUGUUCUUUGGGAAGUCAGUUUUAACUUUUAAGAUCUUUGUCAUGAAAUGACAGUUAAUUUUCUUGUUAGAAAGUUCUGUAGAACUUCUAACAAAAAUGUUAGAGUUGAAAUUUAAACAAAUACAGCACCUCUCAAAUUCUACAGGAACAUAUAGAUAUCACCUAUAUGUGUAUAAUAAAUAUAAUAUUUUUGUUACUGCAUAAUCAAUAUAUAUGUGAGUGCUGUCUUUUGUGUGUGUAUGCAUGCAAGUGACUUUUAAUGUGUGAUUCAUACUAAUUUUAUUUUUUAGAGCAUAAACUUUCAGAGCUGAAAUUAGCUUGAAAUUUCCAGUUUUAACUGUCUUAUUAUAUAUAAGGAAAUGGAGACCUAAAGAAGUCAAGCACCUUGGCCAGAAUCAUGUCAUCUGAAAGAGCAAUCAAAACUAGCAACGGGAGAGAGAAUUUCAGUGUUGAUUUUGGGAGAGGUACGGCUUUAGCAAAGCCCCUGAUCUGCUGCAUGAAGGAGACUUGUGGUUAACUGGCAGUGAGCACAAGCCAUGUUUCUAACACCAAGUGGGGUACUGAGCUUCUAUCUACAACGUUAUUACACAAAAGCUAAUUUCCCAAUAUUUACUAAUCAAUUGCUUCAUGAGAACUUGUCAUACCGGUGCUCCCAAACUAGGUCUGUCGUUCAGCUGUGAUUUGUGGAUGGGGCACUAUUUUACUAUAGUUACUACUGUGGUGUCCCCAGGAAAUUAGAUGGCUUCACCUGGUUCAGGUAUAUAUUUUAUAAUACUUUAAGACCAUCUUUAAUUAGAACUAAAACAAAAAAGGUAGUUGAAAUCAAAAUAUUAUGAGGAAACAAUAUUUGGGUUUGUUGAACCAUUAACACACAUGUCCUCUAAAGGUGUUUGGUUUAACAGUGCGUGUGUAGUUUUAUUUUCUAGUCUCUUUCUACCUUGAUUCAAGUACCCUCCGCCCUCCCCCCAGCCCCGCAAAACACACAGGCAUGCGCGUGAGCAUGCUCUUAGGCCUCUUACAGUUUUUGCAAGCCGACCGCAGGGGUUGGACUCAUUCUGUAAGUGUUUGAAGUUCAAUUACUAUGGUACUCCUAUUAUGAAGGGUUACUGGUGGGGUGCCUUUUAUUCAUCUAUGUAAUUAUUUAUUCUUCACUUAGCACAUUUAUUGAAUGCCUUUUAAUGACCAGACACCGUGCCAAAUACAAGAUACAGAAAUGAUAGAGACAUAUUCCUUGGUCUCAAGAAGUUCACGGUUCAUAAAGGCAAACAAAUACAUAAAUAGAUGAUUACUAUAUGAGAUGAUAACUGCAAUAUGGAAACAUACAUAGCCUAUCAGAGGAGCACAGAAAAGGCUAGGCAAGAACUCCUGCAAGCUAUGAUGACUGAGCUGAGCUUUAAAGAAUAAAUAGGAGUGAGCCAGGCACAGGUGUGACUGACAGUACUUCUGGGAGAAGGUGGAGUCUGAGCCAUCUCAUGAGGUGGUGAAAGCAGCCCUGCACAUCCAGUGAAGAAGGGCAAACUGAGUAGAGCGUAGACUCUGGAACGGGACCACCUGCUCUGCUGUAUGCGAGGUGUGUAACUUUGGGCAAGUAACUGAGCUUCUCUGUGUCUCAGCUGCCUCAUCUGUAAACACUGAGAUAAUUACAGGACCUCCUAAUAGGGUUUCUGUGACAAUUGUGAGCUAGCAUACAUAAAGUGCUUAGAAUAGGGCUUGGCGAUAGUAAGCAUUAUGUGAGUUUUUUGUUGCUAGUUUGUGAAGUGAAAAACAAGCAGGACAGGUGAGAAAUGAGGCUGGAGGCAUUGGCAGGAGUAAGAUGACUGUAUCUCAUGUUUAUGAGCUUCAAUUUUAUGCUAUGUAGCCAGAGGGGACUUUGAAAGGCUUAAAAAAGUGGGAAAACAUGGCGAGAUGUUUUUUUGUCACUCUGGAGGCUGCAGCGAAUGGGAAAGUCUGGAGACUUUCCCAGGGAGCUGUAGUGCUAGGGAGACAUGAUAUAGAAAUGAACUAAGAUGUAGCAGUAUGUGUAGGAAGAAUAGGGAAAUUAGUCUGCUUAGGCCACUGAGUGGACAUGGGAGUGAAAUGGAGGGGGCAGAGGGGAAACAAGAGUCCAAGAUGGCCCCUUGGUGUGUAGUGCUGGUGAUUUGGUGGCUGGUGGUACUAGCAACUGACCUAGCUAAUGGUAAAGGAGGAGCAGGUACAGAGGGGAAGAUACUAGGUCCAGAUUUUCACAUGUAGGUCCUAAAGUUUCUGAUGGAAAAGUCCAGUAAGCAUUUGAAGUGUAACACUUGGGAGGAAGGUCAGGACAGACAGAGUUUUAGGAACCAUCAGCAUGGUGAGGUUGAAAUCACGAGUAAUAAAAUCCCUCAUAGGUGGAGGACAGAGUCUUGGAAUGACAUCUACAGUUACAGAGAAAGCUAAGAAGAGGUCUUCAGGAUGGAGACAAAGAAGGUAGAAGAGCUCCUGGGAGGACUGGAAAAAGAACAUGGUCAUGUUUUUGCCCCCAGAUAUGAUUUCCUCACACAUGUGUGCCAGGAUUAGAUUUUAAAAGUAUUCUUCUUAGGUUGCACUUUAUAUAUGUGGCCCCAAGCAUGAGUCUAAAGUUGCUAGUGUUCCAAAACUUCACCCAGGCCACAUGGCCAAGGUGAAAAUAACUAGUCACAUGUUUCUCUCUGGUUAGGUGGAGCAAGUUUACUCUUGCUAAUACUGAUCACACAGUCACUAUGUUCCUAGAGCCACUCAGUAAUGCUGGCAGUUUUCCUAAGCAUGCUGCUAAAAGUCUAUUUAUCUAGUUCCUGGGAUCAUUUGGGUAGCCAUUCCCAAAGAAAGCCAAAACAUCUCAUCUCUCUCUAUAGCAUUUUUAUUUCUUUCUCAUUAGUUUCCCCCUGAGUGUUGGAAAGAUGUAGGUUGAUAGCCACAUCUUUGCAACAAUCAUUAUUGCCUUGAUGAGCACGUAAGUUUUUCCUGCCCUUAUGAGUGCAUUUCUUCUACACAAUGAAAGAAUUGUGGAGAUACACAAAAAUUGAAACAAUUAGUUUUGUCUAAACUUGAUGUGCUGCAUACAAGUGAUGAUAUAAAUUAUGAAGAUAGUGACUUUGUUAACUUUAAAUGAUUUGGAUACUGGAAGUCCUUGGAGGAUCUUUAAGCGUAUGUUGCCCUUGUUUGCUUGUACCAUUGAAUAUGUUGUGAAUGUCAUACAAACUUGCAUCCCAUACAAACUUUGGAAAAUUUCAACUUUAAAACAUAUAACAAAAAGCAAAUAAAAAUAUCUAACACCAUUUGAAUACUUGAUUAGAAAAUUGUACAGUUAAGCACUUAAAUGUAAUUUUUAGAUUACAGAUAUAGAGUUGAUAUCACAUAAGGAUAAA